rnacentral:rRNA from 1 species
UACAGAGGGGGCAAGCGUUGUUCGGAAUUACUGGGCGGAAAGGGCGCGUAGGCGGCCUGCUAAGUCGAACGUGAAAUCCCUGGGCUCAACCCAGGAACUGCGUCCGAUACUGGUUGGCUUGAAUCCGGGAGAGGGAUGUGGAAUUCCAGGUGUAGCGGUGAAAUGCGUAGAUAUCUGGAGGAACACCGGUGGCGAAGGCGACAUCCUGGACCGGUAUUGACGCUGAGGCGCGAAAGCCAGGGGAGCAAACGGG